rnacentral:rRNA from 1 species
UUCGGAUCGGAGUCUGCAACCCGACUCCGUGAAGCUGGAUUCGCUAGUAAUCGCGCAUCAGCCAUGGCGCGGUGAAUACGUUCCCGGGCCUUGUACACACCGCCCGUCAAGCCAUGGGAGCCGGGGGUGCUUGAAGUGCGUCGCCGCGAGGCGCGCCCUAGAGCAAAACCGGUGACUGGGGCUAAGUCGUAACAAGGUACC